rnacentral:rRNA from 1 species
UAGGGAAUAUUGCUUAAUGGGCGAAAGCCUGAAGCAGCAACGCCGCGUGUGUGAAGAAGGCCUUCGGGUUGUAAAGCACUUUUUGAGGGGAUGAGGAAGGACAGUACCCUCAGAAUAAGCCUCGGCUAACUACGUGCCAGCAGCCGCGGUAAAACGUAGGAGGCGAGCGUUAUCCGGAUUUACUGGGCGUAAAGCGCGUGCAGGCGGCACGGCAAGUUGGAUGUGAAAGCUCCCGGCUUAACUGGGAGAGGUCGUUCAAAACUGCCGAGCUAGAGUGCGGGAGAGGGAGGUGGAAUUCCGGGUGUAGGGGUGAAAUGCGUAGAUAUCCGGAGGAACACCAGUGGCGAAAGCGGCCUCCUGGUCCGCAACUGACACUCAGACGCGAAAGCUAGGGUAGCAAACAG